rnacentral:rRNA from 1 species
CCUACGGGAGGCAGCAGUGAGGAAUAUUGGUCAAUGGGCGCGAGCCUGAACCAGCCAAGUAGCGUGAAGGAUGACUGCCCUCCGUGUUGUAAACUUCUUUUAUAAAGGAAUAAAGUGAGGCACGUGUGCCUUUUUGUAUGUACUUUAUGAAUAAGGAUCGGCUAACUCCGUGCCAGCAGCCGCGGUAAUACGGAGGAUCCGAGCGUUAUCCGGAUUUAUUGGGUGUAAAGGGAGCGUAGAUGGGUUGUUAAGUCAGUUGUGAAAGUUUGCGGCUCAACCGUAAAAUUGCAAUUGAUACUGGCAUGCUUGAGUGCAGGUGAGGUAGGCGGAAUGCGUGGUGUAGCGGUGAAAUGCUUAGAUAUCACGAAGAACUCCGAUGGCGAAGGCAGCCUACUAAACGGUCACUGACGUUGAUGCUCGAAAGUGUGGGUAGCAAACAGGAUUAGAUACCCUUGUAGUC